AGACGAACACAAUUUAGAGACAGAAAAAACUGGCUGACUGGCACCCUUCUCUCUGGCUGGCAGCGGAUUAGCACACUGAAUCCCAUCCCUGAGAUGUCCUGGCACACAUCCUGGGCCCCUCUGUGAAGUGUUUGCCAUGGCCUCGAGCCCCUCAGGUUGAGUGCACUUGUCUGCAAAGGGCUGUGUUCUACAGCAACGUGGGACCCACGAAGGAAGCCUUAUGAUUCAUUUUUCAUCUCAUCAUUACUCGCCUUGCCUGUAUGCCAAGGCUGGGAAGCAAUGGGCCAGAGGUUUGUGCUCUGAGCAAUUCUGAAUCAUGUGGAGAAUAUGAAGGAAAAUGAGAAGUUUAAAAAUACUCCAUAGGAAAGAAAUGGUGUUUUAUAUAACGAAAACUCUGAAGAUUACACUGGCUGGUACAAGGAAGAUUUGUUUCUGCGACGAAAGUUCUUGCCACCUGGGCCUCAUCAUGGGACAACUUACCCCGUGGCAGCUGCUUUCCUUGAUGUGAGCCAGCAGGUCAGAGAAGGCAUCCAGAAGAGAAGCCACAGCCUUUCUGCAGCCCAACCUCAGAAGGGCCAUCCCAUCACUUCCUAAUGAAUGCUUUAUGGCUGAGAAAUGAUGGAGGAAGCGAGUGAGACUGAAGAGAUGAAGAAACUGAGGCACACAGAGAGAGACCCGGACGUGGCAUUCCCAGCAGUACUCAGAAAAGGAAGAAAGUACCGGAUUCCACACUGGGAUUGAUAUGUGUGGGACAAAGGUAGCUGGUUCAGAAAUUGGAGCUGAAAACCUUGAGAAGAGGUCCCUUGGAAGUGGCAGCAAUCUGGAGGAGAGCUUUGGGUUUCCAAAGGCCACAGAAUGGGUGGGAGGCACAAAGGCUUCUGCUCUAGAACUCCCUUCUUCUUACUCCUGAAAUGUUGGAUGAUGCUAUGGGAAACAGAUGAGUUUGUCCAGGGAACCAUGUGGAGUACGAACAGAGGGAAGGCAAGAAAGGAACUCGUCAAACGGAUCGAAGAUAAGAGAUGGAUGGGCCCGGGACAUCUUCCCCAGUGGCUCUUGUCCACGGGACACCUGGCUUGUACCCACAGAAAGUUGGCUUCCAGCCAUGCUUGAGUGAGAACAGUGAGGGCCCUUGCCUUCCUACAACAGGCUGUCUCUGACAGAAGAAUACAGUUCAUCAAAAGUGUCUGCAGGUUGUCAAACUCAGAGAGGUUUGGGGACCCUCUGAGGCUGUCGUGGUCAACAAGAAGAUUUUCUGUUGGGCUUUUCCAUCACUCACCCUGAGGAAAUAAUCACUCACUACAUUCUGCAUGUUCUCAUGAUAGAGUUCUCCAUUUGAGAGAAAAGAGCCAUUUUAUCAAAGGACAAUAUAGCCCUUCUCUGGGUCCACGUAGCUUCCAUUAUCAGACCAUAAUAAAUCAUAUUUAUGUUCCCAGUUAAUAAGACUGAUUACAACACAGGUUCCAGACAUGGGAAAAGCAAAGCAGGUGAAAAGAUGUUUUAAUGAAAAUAUGAUAAGAAAACAGCUUCUUGUGAACAUUCUGUGCUAUUAUUUGUAAUGAUUACAGACAAUUUUUGAUGCAUCUUGUUUAGCAAUGGUUUAAGCUGCAUAAAUUGGCUCACUGGUAGAUAAGUAAAAAUGAUAAGAAAAAAUCAUGAAAUCUUCUUAUGUUGUCUAGAAUCAUUAUGUACAUAACAAGGGCAAAAUGGGUUUAAUGUAUAUGCUGGGGAUGGAGGGGAAACAGGCUUCUCAGAAAAGCAUGGCUUGGGUAUUAUUUGAAAUGAUUUAGAAAUUUUCUCCUCAUCUUGCUUAUUAAAGAUGUGUUCUCCCUGAAAUUUGGGGGUGCUAGGCAUUAAUUUCAUCUUUGUAAAUGAAUCUACAGCUCUACUUCUUUUAUCCAAUCUCAAAGUUGUUGUUUUUUUUUCUUGCUUUCUUUUUUUCCCUUCUUGGACCUCAGUACAAAGAGACAAAGAGAUAUAUAUUUCCUACUCAAUGUUUGUGCACACUUGCCAUUAGUGCUAAUGGGAAUUAAGUGCCUGCUUGGGAGGAAAACAGACCCCAAAGUUUAAUAUUGGAAGCUACCUUAUUAAGAAGGUCUGGACAUUUUUAGCUUCAGUGAGUUCAAUUACAUUAAAGUACCAACUUUCUAAAUUAGUACAAAAAAAAGAAAAAAUCAUAUAAAAUAUUGAAAUAGCUUCAGCCUUUAACUGUAUAAAACAGAAGAAGAGCAUCUGAAGGCGAGGACUCAGGGUGUGUCGUAUGGCUUGUUUGUUCAUAUUAAUUUACCAGUUUGAUAGUGUAACACAUAACAAUUUCAGGUUAGCACCCAGCACUUGGAGUAAUUCUUUCCACUGUUCGUUUGUGGCUUUGAUGAGAAUUUUGUUGUCCUUGGCUUUGGGGUUUCUAAAAAGGCAAAUGAAGCUUCCUGGAGUCCAUGUUAUUCUGAGAGUGGCAAUCUGAAAUUUUAGAUUAGCACAAUUCAGAUUCAGCAAGUGGUUGGGAUAUUUUAUUUAUUUUGGAUGGGGAGUGCAGGGGUGGUUGGUAUCUUUCUCACAUAUACAUGUAGGCCUCACAGUGUGCACCUGUGAGGGAUUCCUUAAUAAUCUGCCCGUGGAAUAACCAUUGUUAUGAACUGAAGAAGAGAGUAUUCUCCAUAAUACAAUUGUCAUGGCUGUACUGCUAGAAAGGCACAGGGAUGGCAUUGCAAACCCUUCUUGCCAAAAGAAAACACCACUCAAUAUCUCCCAGACAAUUUUGCUCAGAGAUUCUUGGAUUCUACUUUUUCUAAGGCAGUUUGCACUAAAGUUAAAUAUUGGGAGAGUGGAUGAGAUUCAGUCCCCUCCUCCUAGAUCAUUGCUUUCUUUGUUGGCAAUUUCUCUUUGUUCUAUUUUAACAUGAAUAAAAGAGGGGAAGGGCGAUUGGCCCCACGUCAUUCACAUUGUCUGUUUUCCAUGGAAAUAACUGUCAGGACUUCUACUGCAUCUUCCUUUGCUUUUUAGCUUGCGCUCCAUUUUUCUUUUCAUAGGUUGACCAAAAAAUAUUGCCUGCAAGAGAAUUCCGUAAUGCCACCAUAUAUCUAAUAUCUAUGAGGCGUUUUGUUUUAGCGUUACUGGACUUAACCACAAAAGGCAUUUGACAUUGAUAAAGAAUCUGUCAAGUCUACCCUGAUCAGUGCACUGAAAUCACUCAUGACAGGGAAGACACCAACUCCCCAAAGCAGUGGUAGAUUAGGGGAAAAAUGAUCAGAAGCUUUGUCAUUGUGAAGCCAUCUCAUGUUGGACCCUACACUGAGCCAAAUGUGUUUUACUUGUCACACUCCAUUAGCAUGUGUGAAACAGUUGGGAAAAUGGCCAUAUGAUUAGACAGAAGGAAACCCAAAUUCUUCAUAUCGGGACUUGUUACCACUGAAUAAUGUCUUUGCAGGAGGGAUUGGUUUAGAUUUUGUUAAUUUCUUGUGUGAUGAAAAAUAAAUGGCAUUUAUGGAUAGACUCUACAAAAGUUGACCACAAACAGUCCCUCUAAAUCUCCCCUGUGUUAAACAUUUAUAAAAGAAGAUGUGUUGAAAUCCACAAUUUUACUGGCAAAACGGUCACUGAUAUCAGACUCCUAAAAUUUGCUCCCUCAACACCUCCUCACCAUGGGCACCAGGAGAUUACAUUUGCCCAGAGCUGAGCAUCUUUCUAUGGCUAAGAAAAAGCAGAGGACUGGUGUCAGAUGAGGACUUCCCUCUGGAGUAAUUCUUACCUGAACAAAAUCCGAAUUUAUGUAGAUAUUUUCUGCUAAAAAAUUGUUGUUGUUGCUUUGUUUGUGUUGAGAGAGAAUGUCAGUGAAAAGAUGACUUUAAGGAUGAGAAGAUAAGAAAGACUUGGAUACAAAGGAAAUUCCAGUAAUGCUUAAAACACCAUGACCUCAGCACUGUAAGGAAAGGACAGAGUAGGCGGUAUUUUCCUCUUGGGGCCAAUCUGUUGAAAACUCACAUAGAAUGAAAGAAAAUCUAUUAUGGGAAAGAAAGAUAGCUUUCUUGAAUACUGCCUGUAUAAUUACAUAUGUAUGAGUGUUACAAUUCCUGAGAAUGAAAUCUCAUUCCACAUAUGAUUGGGGAAUUAUUAAAUGUUGACUAUUAAAUAUUUUAGUUAGUUUCACACUGUGUUUAUUUCUCCAGAAUGAUGAAUAUGCAGAUUUAAAAUUGAAUUUCUUCGUCCCAAGAAAAUGAUGAAGCCAAGUCCUUGACGAUGUCUAGCUUUUACAGAUGGGCCCUCAGACAGGGUGACUAACCACAGCAGGCAGCCCAUGUGUCAAGAAAAACCACGCCACCUCCCACCUCUGUGAAGGAGGACCAUUUAGAUUGGGAAACUGCCCUAAUUCUGAUGAUGGUCCCUGGGUAUUUGUGCAAAACUAUGGCCUGAUUUAGUUACUGUGGGUAACAGUUACCCAGCCCAAAACCCAAGCACAGGCAGAAAACAGAUAUUAUUUCUAAUAGCAGGAAAGGGCAAGGACAAACAAAAGGGCACAGGAAAGAGGCUUCCGCCCCUGGACAGACCAGCGUGGUGGGCAGUAAUUAGCACAAAACACCCACUCUGUGUUUUUCUUGAGCCUGUUCAGCUUGUCUGGCCCCCAGAGCUUCAUAGUUGGUCCAAGAAUUCAAUGCAGUCCUCCCUUGUGACUACACAGAAUGUGUUUGCAGUGUUGAAGGCCAGCCCAGGACUAAUUUUGAAAAGUAAAUCUGGGAAACAGCUUAAUUUCAUUUCCCUAGAGAUUUUUCUGGGACAAAGUUAGAAGGGAAGACAAGUUGAAUAAAAUAGCAGUUAGAGGCAGAGGCUACUUUGAGCAAAAGUCUCCUACACUCUCCUUGCUCCUCAGUUCCUGUACUAUGUAGGAAGUUUAAUACGUUUUCAGUAAAUGGUGGUAGUUUUUGAUGCUACACUACAGUGUUUUACAACCCUUGUGAUGCAGGUAUAAACUGCAGGAUCUUUAAUUAAAGUGGUCUCUUAAAUACUCAGAAGAAAGUCAUAAUCAAAUGUACACAGGUGACUUGUGCUUCAUAAUUCUACACAAAGCACCUACUAUGUGUUAGGCCUUGUGACCCAUAGACUAGGCCUCCUAGUCCUGGGCUCUUACUACUACUACGCCACACACUGCUGUCUUGGUAGAACUGACAGAGCUAGUGACCCAAAGUCAAUGCUGUUGACUUUGUAGGUCUCAAGUUAAAAACAGCAAUUUUGGCAGAAACUCUAAAAUAGGAAUAUAAGUGAAAGAUGUACUUAACUUACCAAGAGGUGUCAGUAUAGAGUCGUGUAUACUGUAAGAGCAUGAGCUUUGAAAUGACAUAUUCUGGUUCAAACCCUGACUCUACUGUUUUCCAGUUAGUUUGUUACUUAAUCACUCUCAGCUUCAAUUUAUUAAUCUGUAAAAUGGGUAUAAUAAUACUUAUUUUCUUACCAUUGUUGUGAGGAUUAAAUGCAUGUGAACAGCUGGCACAGUCAAAGCCAGAUUAAGAGCUGGCCAUCAGGGCAGCUGCCUGAGGGUCUAUGGGUCCAUGCUGAAGGGAGACCAAAUACCCCAGGAAUAAAUUAUAAACAUGGUGCCAGUAACUCAGGUGUCUACACGUCAUCCUGGCGAAAUGGAAUUGGCUCUGUCCUGCCGGAAUAGACAGCCCCUUGGAAUAGAGAAAAAAACUAUCCUGAUUGGCCAGUGUGGCUGAGUUGCAUGGGACACAUGCAGGUUCUGCCACCACCCAGCCUGAAGCUGGAAGUCAUAGCCAGCUGAAAAUCUAAAACCAAAUGAUGCCGGGCUUAUGGCUGUAUUCUGGAGAAUUAUGCUAUUAUCUAAAUUAGAAUCCUGAUACUAGGCUUCCCAAACGGGGUUGUCUGCUUUUAAAGAAUCAUAACAGAAAACAAGAACAAAAACACGGGAAACAUUCUGUCAACAUGAAAGUCAGAGAAAUUAGAUUUUUAAGCAAAAUUUGAACAAGAUUUUACAACUCUAUCAGUAUGUUAUCUUAAUGCUUUGAAAAGAACACUAUUCAGUUGUGAGAGUGAAAUAAGUGAAAUGGAAGGCAAUUUUAAUUAAGUCAAAAUGUUUCAGUACAUGAAAUAAGUCUCUUAUUUUGAACAUCAAGAUCGAUGAAUAUGAAUUAUAUUAACAGAAAAUCAGUUUCUCUCACCCUCAGAAAACGACUGUUGGUCAAUAGGAUAUUGGUUUGUAGUGACACCAAACGGUGAGCCAACCCAAGCUGCCCAUAUUCUGUCUGGCCCUGAGCGCAGUGCCUGCCACACAAUGACUGUCAAUAAGCAUUUGCUAUUAGAAUAUAAGCAUUUGCAGUUACAGCAAAUUUUAAAGGGUCUGAUUAUGAUUUCCUGAGAAAAUGUUGAGUAGGUGACUUGAGGAUUUCAAACCUGUGACACAAAAACAAAGGAAGAAACAUCUGUUUUAAGUGUGAUUCUUGGAACUUCUUGGCUGGUGUGGCCCCUGCCUCUCCCAUCCUUCUUUCCUCUACUCCUUUCUCCUUUAUAUUCUUCCUUGUCAGCUCCUGUCUCACUUCAUGCUCUUCUACACAGGCCAAGCACCUGACACCUUGCAUGGUGCAGGCCUCAGACGUGCCAGCUUUCUUCUCCCUUCUAUUCUCCUCUUCUCCCCCUAUCCCACCUUCCACAAAGUAUAACAGUGAUGGUUAAUAUUAAGCGUCAACUUGAUUGGGUUGAAGGAUGCAAAGUAUUGUUUCUGGGUGUGUCUGUGAGGGUGUUGCCAAAAGAGAUGAACAUUUGAGUCAGUGGACUGGGAGAGGCAGACCCACCCUUAAUGUGGGUGCGAACCAUCCAAUCAGCUGCCAGUGUGGCUAGGAUAAAGCAGGCAGAAGGUGGGAGAUGCCAACUUGCUGAGUCUUCUGGCCUUCAUCUUUCUCCCAUGCUGGAUGCUUCCUGCCCUCGAACAUCAGACUCCAAAAUUGUGGCUCUUGGACUUUUGGACUUACAGCAAUGGCUCUUGGGCCUUCGGCCACAGACUGAAGGCUGUACUGUCAGCUUCCCUACUUUCAAGGUUUUGGAAUUGGGACUGAGCCACGACUGCCAUUCUUGCUCCUCAGCUUGCAGAAGGCCUAUCGUGGGAUUUCACCUUGUGAUUUUGAGUCAAUUCUCCUUAAUAAACUCCCCUUCAUAUAUACACCUAUCUUAUUAGUUCUGUCCCUCUAGAGAACCCUAAUACAAUACUACUCACUACCCUGUAGAAUAGUGAAUGACUCAAGAGAAGGAUCUUUCUUCUUUGAAUUUCUGCAUGAGACCUCUUGACAAUGGUUUUAUCUGGCUGUUCAUGUAAGUGAAGUGAGGCUUGGUGGUAGAACGGUGGUGGCCUGGUGUCAGGAGGAGAGGGCUCUAGACCCACGCCUGCCUUAGCCAGCCAGUUCUUAUUUAAAUGUGGCAAUUAAAUGCAUGUAAGAGGCAGAUCUGGGCAUUGAAAUCUGCAGGAGCAACAUAAGGAAGCUGGACUAUAUCUGUAGUGUUCAAACACUUUUAAAGGAGUAAAAACCUUUUUUACAAACACUAUUUUUUGUGAUAUGCCUCUAUACAGAGCAGAUGUAGCAGGAGACAUUCUGAAGAAGAACCGGGAGCUCAGAACUCAUCAGCUCAACCUAUUAUGAUCCGCCCUCCCCACCACUCCAGCUCCCCUCCCCCAACUCUUUGGUGGCUUCUCAGGAACUUUCAGGGAAAUAUCUGUGGACUAGAUGAUCUCCAUGAUCUAUUUCUGGUCCCAGGUAACUUCCGUAGUGGGUAAGCUCCUUGAGGCAGGCAUUGAAACUUACUUUUUCCAACUCCUGUUCCCACACGAUCCCCUUAAUGCUCAGCGAAAUAUUGGACACACAUAAGCAGUUCAUAUUUAUUUAUCCUAGUCAACUUCCUGGUGAUUAGAAAAUAAUUAGGAAAGUAUUACUAUAUGCUUGUAGUUACACAGAUUUAGCCUAUUUAUGCCAGUAUUUUAGGGCUAGUUUAAGGUUUUAAUUGUGAAAUGAUUAAAAAAAAAAACUGGGUGCAAUUUCUUAGUAAUGAUACCUUUCACUCCCGAGUGUUCUGAGCAUUGAAUUAGUAGAUAUCUGCUGGGGUGGCUCUUGGUUCAGAGUUCCCCCAUCUCUGGGACUGACACCAACAAGAGUUGCCAUGGCUUUUUCCAAGCAGCGCAACCCUAUCUUCUCCCCAAACCCUGCCUAUGGUUUAUUUGUCUAGGGAUGGACACCCAUCGAAAACAGGCCAAUCAGAAUCUUUCCCUGGGGUUUUCUGAAUUGGAACCAAGAGAAGAUUGCCUCUCUCCCUCUGAUGGCAGCAGCCCCUGCAUGCCGGAUUCAGGGGCUUUCUGAGCUGUGAUCCCCACCACAUGAAGGCAGUCAGUCUGUGGAAGACAGCGAAGCCUUCCUCUGAGAAGAAUGACAGAGAGUCAUGGUGGUGUUUAAGCUUCACUUUCAAGUUGCUUCUGGGUCCCUGCUCUUAUUCCUGAUUAUGGUCCAGUAUCAUUCUGAAUCCCAGUGUGGCCUAAACUAGUUUGAAUCAAGUUUCUGUCACUUACAACCAAAAGAAUCCAGACUAAUAUAAGAGUCUUGCCUUCUUUGUGUUUCUUAUCUGAUUUCAUAUUAAGUUUAUUCUCCAUGAUGUUAGUAUUGAGAUGUGCACACUUUCUGUGCCUCUACUUGAUACUCAGAUGGUUAUCCAUGCCAAGGCAUGGCACGAGGAGGUCCUUGAAGACCUAAACUAGUUGUGGGUGACUGUUUUCUGCAAGACAGGUUGGAGCUUCUCCUUUGUGUUGGCAUCAUGUCCUCUAGUUGCCUCUUAUAAUAUUUGUGAACAGCAUGGUGCUCAUCUGUCUGCUUUCUCUCCUAAGCUGUUUCUGAACUUCUCUGAGGACAGGGACAGUGUCUUAUCAAUCUCUAUGAACAAUUUCUAGAAAUUUCAUUGAUUUCUGAUUGAUUACCUAUGCCAAACACAAUACCUGGGACAUUGUAGGCACUCAAUUUUAUUUUUUAUUUGUUUAUAGCAAAAUGUCUUGCCAGAUAGUACAAUCAGCUUCUCCUCACUUUUCUUCAUUGAGGGGUUACACCCUCAAUCACUGGAAAUCACUGAGAGUAGCACCACCUCCCUCAAAGGGUAGGGGAGUCUGUCUUAGAUGGCUAAAAUGUCUUUGAGUCGCUGAAGGUGGUUUCUCUCCAAAGAGUGGGUAUAAGGUGCCCUAGAGGUACGGAACUCAGCCUAUCAUAGGGAAAGUGAAUAGCUUCAACAUUUAGAAAAGGGGGCAGAGUACUUUGGAUGUUUAAGCUUUAAGAGAAAAAAAAAAAAAACAAAGCAACUGAACUGCAAACGUAGAGCCCUGGGAAGGAAGGGAGAAGGUGGCUCUGGAUCCCAGAGGUAGUACACAGUGGAACCAACACCAGCUCAGUGCCUCUGCAGCUAAUGAGUACCCAGGGAUGCCAGUGGGAAGAGCUGGGCGUUGGGAGCUGCAUGGUGGGAGCAGAGAAGUGGGAUAUUCUUGGCUGCAGCCAGCACUGAGGAAAUGGCACCAUCCUUUCAUGGAGAAGCCUGCCAGGCCUGUGCAGAGAUCUGGACCAGUGAGGCAGUUUUCCCUAGGGAAUCACUUUCACGUGACAGAUGACGCAGCACUGCCACUCAGUCGAAACACUGUAUGGUACAAGGAGCCAAGCAACAAUGGAGGACUGAACAGGCUUCUGUAUUUUUCCUGAUCUGAUACACGAGGCUGCAAGGACCUCCUGAACAGUUGGUCAGGGAGCAGGACAGUGUCCGAGAGACGCUGGAGCAUCCUACUAAUAAAGAGCCUCCGGCAAUGAAUUAGAAACAGUAAAAGUGCCAUGACCAGAUUCUGUAUUCCAUUUUUGAAAGACAGAUAAUACUGCCUACACAUGGCAUUUGGGUCCAUUCUGAUGGACUGUGUCACAAAACUUCAGUAUGUCAAAAGGCCCCUGCUGGUCUGUUACAACAUAGGAAUGCCAGACGUUUACAUAGGGUUCGUGUCUCACAGCAGUCCCGUGAAGAUAAGCAGGGCAGUUAGCGCUAUCUCCAUUUCAAGGUGAAGAAAUUAUUGCUCAGAGAGAUGGAGUGACUCGUUAUUGUUAAAAGGACAGUUAAUGGUAGAGCACUUUCCACUAUGUGGAGGUUUCUCCUUCACCAGACAGUUAACAGAUAUCCCCCCAGUCCACUUCUAUCUUCUAUGGAAUUUGGAAAACUGGGAGGCAAUGUGGAGGGGUGGAGAGAACACUUGGCCCCUUGUCAAGCCAUCUAGCUUCUGGUUCUACCCAUCAGCUGGCUGGGCAGCAAGACGCAAGCUCUUUCUAUGGGACCUUUAGGCUUUCUGUUCUUCAUCUUGAGAGAUAAGUCAAAUGGCCUUGAAAGUCCUCUCUAGCAUGAACAUCUCUUGGAUUUGUAGGUGCAAAGAGAAAGAUAUGGCUUCUAGGUGGGGUGGGACAACUAAUUAAUUGCUAGUUGCCCUCCAAUUUUGAAUCUCCCUUUAUUUUUAAAAAUAAACUUAGUCUUGGGAUGGUUUUAGAUUUACAGAAUUAUUGAAAGGAUAGUACAAAAGGUUCCCAUAUAUCCCAUGCCAAGCUUCCCAUAUGAAUACCUUAUAUUGGUACAGCACAUUUGUCGCUAUUAAUAAACCAGUAUCCAGGGCCGGGUGCAGUGGCUCACGCCUGUAAUCCCAGCACUUUGGGAGGCCGAGGCAGGUGGAUCACCUGAGGUCAGGAGUUCGAGACCAGGCUGACCAACAUGGGAAAACCCUGUCUCUACUAAAAAUACAAAAUUAGCUGGGCUUGGUGGUGCAUGCCUGUAAUCCCAGCUACUUGGGAGGCUGAGGCAGGAGAAUCGCUUGAACUCGGGAGGCAGAAUUUGCAGUGAUCCGAGAUGGCACCAUUGCCCUCCAGUCUGGGCAACAACAGCGAAACUCUGUCUCAAAAUAAUAUAAUAAUAAUAAUGUUAAUAAACCAGUAUCCAGUAUUGAUACAUUCUUAUUAACUGAAGUCCAUGCUUUGUUCUGUUUUCCUCAGUUUUUCCCUAAUGUCCUUUGUUGUUGCUGCUGUUGUUCCAGGAUCGCAUCCAACAUGCCACAUGACAUUUAUUAGUCAGGUCUCCUUAGACUACUCUUGGCUGUGACAGUUUCUCAGACUUUCCUUGUUUUUGAUGACCUUGACAGUUGUGAGGAAUACCGACUGGUCAGGUAUUUUGUAAAAUGACCCUCAACUGGGAUUUGUUUGAUGUUUUUUUAUAAUAAGACUGAAGUAAUAUGUUUUGGGGAAGAGGACCACAGAGGUAAAAUGCCAUUCUAACCAUAUUAUAUCAAGGGUACAUACUAUCAACAUGAUUUAUCACUGUUGAUGUUAACCUUGAUUACCUGGCUUCAGGUAGUAUUUGUCAGGUUUCUCCACUGUAAAGUUUCUUAUUUUUUUUCCUCCUUUUCCAAACUGUACUUUUGGAAGAAAGUCACUACAUGUAGCCCACACUUAAAAGUGGAGAAUUGGCCGGGUGUGGUGGCUCAUGCCUGUAAUCCCAGCACUUUGGGAGGCCGAGGCGGGCAUAUCACGAGGUCAGGAGAUUGAGAUCAUCCUGGCUAACACGGUGAAACCCCGUUUCUACUAAAAAUCCAAAAAAUUAGCCGGGCGUGGUGGCUGUUGCCUGUAGUCCCAGCUACUCGGGAGGCUGAGGCAGGAGAAUGGCAUAAGUAAACCCAGGAGGCAGAGCUUGCAGUAAGCCUAGAUCGCACCACUGCACUCCAGGCUGGGCGACAGAGUGAGACUUCAUCUUAAAAAAAAAAAAGUGGAGAAUUAUGCUUCCUCUCCUUAAGGGUAGAAUAUGUAAAUAAAUUACAGUGUUUGGAAUUUUUCUGCAUAGGAGAUUUGUCUAUUCCCCUCUAUUUACUUAUGCAAUCAUUUAUUUAUAUCAGCCGGUCUCAUAGAUAUUUGUUUUAUACUUUGGGUUAUAAUCCAAUACUACUUCAAUUUAUUUUGAUGCUCCUUCCUUUUAUGACCACUCUCUAGUUUUUAGCAGACUAUAUAGCUGUCAUAAAUAAGACUACAUUUCCCAAAGUCCCUUGCAGCUAGGUGUGACCAUGUGAUUAAGUUCUAGCCAAUGGGAUGUGAGCAAGGGUCACACGUACAAAUUCUUUCUUUUCUUCUCACUUGUUUGCUGAAAUGUAGGAUUGAAGCUAGAACUGGAGUAGUCAUGGUGGAAAAGAAGAUGACCUUAGGAAUGGAAGCCACAUAGUGGUGCACUAAGAUAAGGACUUGGUCCCUGACCCUGUGGCCCUCCAUUGAAACCCUGAAUGUUGUGACUGUAUUUUACUUGAGAUAGAAAAAAAUUUCUACCUUGUGUAAGCUUCACAGUCUUGAGUUUUCUGCUACUCCCUGAAGAACUUUGUCCUAACACAGUAUGCAUAGGGCAUGUGUAUUCUUGCAAGUGUGUACAUAUGAGUAAGGGAUGACUCCAAGGAAUGACAUUGAUUUUUAAAAAGAAAAUAAGCCGGGCGCGGUGGCUCACGCCUGUAAUCCCAGCACUUUGGGAGGCCGAGGUGGGUGGAUCACCUGAGGUCAGGAGUUUGAGACCAGCCUGGCCAACAUGGUGAAACCCCGUCUCUACUAAAAAUACACAAAAAAUUAGCUGGGCGUGGUGGCAGGCGCCUGUAAUCCCAGCUACUUGGGAGGCUGUGGCAGGAGAAUCACUUGAACCCGGGAGGCGGAGGUUGAAGUGAGCCAAGAUCGCGCCACCACACUCCAGCCUGGGUGACAAGAGCAAGACUCCAUCUCAAAAAAAAAAAAAAAAAAGAAAGAAAGAAAGAAAGAAAAUACACCAGAAUCUUCUGGCUAGUUUUAGAGAAGGGGUUUUUUUUGUGUGUGUUAUAUUAUUAUCAUUAAAAUGUUUGUAAAGAUGCAGCCAUGGGUAGUUGGAUGUUGUUUGCUAGCUGUUUGAUUCUCUGACUUCUUCUAAGAUUGGUUCUUUUGUACAAAUGUAAGGCAAGUUCCACCCAUUAUCCUUUCAGUAAGCCCUGAGGACAUUUGAAAUCUCUUGGCAGAUAAUGCGAUGUUCUACUUAGUUAUUUAAAUUGAAUGAGUCUUUUGCUGUGCUUUUGAAGGAAGAGCAGAAGAGAUUUUUUGAGAAAGAUUUAGUUAGAAUAGUGUGCUGGUAUUCCCUGACGUGAGGUUAAAUUUGUGCAUGUAAGGUCGCUAUGGACUUUGGGCAAGGAAGAAUUGUAUUAGUCCUUAAAGCAGAGUGCUGCUAUGGGCUAAAUUGUGUCUCCCUUAAAAUUCAUAUGUUGGCCAGGCACGGUGGCUCACGCCUGUAAUCCCGACACUUUGGGAGGCCGAGGUGGGUGGAUCAUCUGAGGUCAAGAGGUCCAGACCAGCCUGGCCAACAUGGUGAAACUAUGUCUUUACUAAAAUACAAAACAGCCAGGUGUGGUGGUAUGCACCUGUAAUCCCAGCUACUAGAGAGGCUGAGGCAGGAGAAUUGCUUGAACCCAGGAGGCAGAGGUUGCAGUGAGGAGAGAGAUCAUGCUAUUGCACUCUAGUCUGGGCGACACAGACCCCGUCUCAAAAAAAAAAAAAAAAUUCCGAUGUUGAAAUCCUAACUUCUAAUACUUCAGAAUGUAAUUGUAUUUAGAAACAGGGUAUUUAACGAGGUAGUUAAGAGAAAUUGAGGUCAUUAGGCUGGGCCCUAAACCAAUAUUACUAGUGUCCUUAUAAGAAAAGGAAGUUAGGACCUGGCUAAUGGGUAGCAUAGGAGUGAUUGGAUUGUUGGAAGAGGAAUUGGCUGUGAGCUCUAUAGUAACAGCUGGAUUUAUCUUUCCAUCUCCAGUGCCUAGCAAGGAGCUGUAGGAAUGAAUAAAUGAAUGCUUGAAAGAAAACCAGGAUGAGAGAGAUUAUCACGACGCGAAGUGUCCGGGAGUCCUUCCCAGCCUCAUCUUCCUGAGGUUUUCUUGAAUAGUUGAGAGUUUGGGAAUAAAAAGGGGAGGGGAGGACACCAAAGACAAAAGAAGAGAAUUAGCAAAGGCACAUGAUUAUAAAGUAACCUGAUACAACGCUAUGUUUUAGAACUCUGCUGUCUAAUAGAGUAACCACUAAUCACACGUGGGUAUUGACAUUUAAAUUAACUAAGAUUUAAAAUUCAGUUCCUUAGUCAUACUAGCCACAUUUCAAGUGACCAGUGGCCACAUAGAGCUAGUGGCUUCUAAAUAGGACAGAACGGAUGCAGCACAUUUUCCCCAUCAUUACAGAAAGAUCUGCUGGACAGUGCGCUUUCAGGGUGAGGUACGAAGGGCAGCACAAGCUGGAAAAGUGAGUGGGGUUGGAUGAAAAAGGACUUUGUGCAGCAUGCUUGGGAGCUCAGACUUGAUCCAGAAAUUGAUGGGGAGCUAUUGAAAGGUUUUUAAAAUUAUAAUAAAAUACAUUCAUAAAAUUUACCAUUUUAACCUUUAUUAAGUGUAAAUUCAGUGGCAUUAAAUACAUCCAUAUUGUUGUGCAACAUUGCCACUAUCCAUCUCCAGAACACUUCCAUCAUCACAAACUGAAACUCUGUAGACCUCAAACGAUAACUUUCCAUUCACCUCUCCCCCAGCUCCUGGUAACCACUCUUCUACUUUCUUUCUCAAUGAAUUUGACUAUUCUAUGGACCAUAUAAAAGGGAAAUCAUACAAUACUUGUCCUGGCUUAUUUCACUUAGCGUAAUGUUUCAAGGGUCAUUCAUGUUGUAGCAUGGAUCAGAAUUUUCUUCCUUUUUAAGGCUGAAUAAUGUAUACACCACAUUUUGUUUCUCCAUUCAUCCAUUGAUGAACAUUUGCGUUGCUCCCACCUUUUGGAUAUUGUGAUAUUGUGGAUCAGUGAAGUACAGGGGUGGUGGACAUGUACUAUGCACCUGAACCAUCAAUAUUUCAUCCUCUGGGCCACAGUGAUUGGCUCAGAGGCUAACAUGUGAGCCAAGAUGGACCGUAUUAGAACCACUUUGGUACUAUAUUGGAACGCUUGAGAACAGCAUUCUCUCUGCUGAGGUUGCUAAGCAGCUAGAAUUUACACCUGGAGCUGCUAAUCACCAUCUUGUCACUACAAGGAGAGCCUUCCUGAGAAUAAACCAACUUUAAACCCAGAGGACAGCAGAGUGAGAGUUGAAGAUAGAUGGACUACUGUCUUCAUCUGAACACCUGGGUCUACUUUCCAAGUUACAAGAACCAAUACAUUUUCUCUUUUGCAUAUGUCAGUUUGAAAUUAGUUUCUGACACUAGCAGUCAAGAGUCCUGAAAAACACAGAUUGAUACAUAAAGAUUUGCAUUUUUAAAAGAUAUAUUGAUGAUUCUGGGAAGAGAAGAUUUGAGAAAGCAAAUCUGGAAGCAGAGAUACAGUUAGGAAGCUAUUACAAUAGACAGAGGCAGAGAUGGCUGUGAUAUCAAGUGGGACAGUGCCAGCAGGGACAGGGAGAAGGGGAUGGGGUUUAAUGCAUAUUUAGGAAAUGGGAGGCCCAGAACUGUGUGGCUGAUUGGGCUGGGCACUCAAGAAAUAGCAAAAUGAUCCCAUCUUUCUGGCCUGGAGGUCUGGGGUUGGUGAUGACAUUGGCUAAGAUAAGCAAUAUGUAGGGAGGUGUAGUUUGAUGGAAAAAUGAACUAUUCUGAACACGUUAAGUUUGAGGUGCCUGGGGGAUGCUCAAAUCGAGAUGCUUAGCAGAAAUUUGCGUAAAUGAGUUAGAAGAUCAGAUGAAAGAUCAGAGCUAGAGAUGAAGGUCUGAGAGGUGUUGUCUGGCCUUUAGAGCCAUGGGGGUAAAUUAGACAACUCUGAGUGAGUCUGUAGAGAAGAGCAGGGACAGAAGGGAACUCUACGACAUCGGUGUUCAACGAAACUGUUUUUUGAUGAAAGAGGAGUCCACCCAAGAGAUAAAGAAGGAAGAGGCAGAGAGUUAGGAAGGAGGCACGGAAUGUUACAAGGAGGCAGUGUUCAACCCUGUCAAAAGCAAUGGUGAGGCCAUUCAAGUGAGGCUGGACAGGGCACCUCAGAGGUCUCUAAGCAGGUGCCAGGUGAGAAGCAGUUUUUGCUCAACCUUGCCUUGGGGAGGUAGUGCAGUGCCAUGAAGUCAGACUCCACCUCUGCCCUGUAGUGCUUGGGAGAUGUUUGGCAAGUCUCUCCACCUCUCUGAGUCUCAGUCUCCAAAUCUAUAAAAUGCAGAUGGUAUCCCAUUUAUGUAAGAUUGUUGUGAGGCUUCACUGAGUCAUUAAUAAAGCUCUAAUCCAGAGCCUGACACACCACAGGCAUUCAAUGCAUCCCAGCCUCUUUCUUUUCCAUUCCUUUCAUAUCAGGGAUGUCCAGUGACCACAUUUCUGUUCAUUCUUUUGAGUUUGAGAAGAGGGAGGGCCACCUUGAAGUGUCUGGGCAGGGGCUAGAUCUUAAGUCAGCCUCUUGCUCCUAUAAAAGUUAAAAUUAAGGGCGGCAUGAGGGGUCAGUAAGCAGCAAGGAGGCAUAGGGGAGACAGAAAAUGGGUAUAGGAAUCUUGCUGAUUGAGGAUUGGAGUCCCGGGGUCGGUGAAUGAUCUGUGACUCUGAAAGGGUGGGCUGAGAAAAGCAGAGACCUGAGGGCUGGGGAUGGAGCCUGUGCUGCCAAACAGUGGGCCACCAGUGGCCUGUAGGUAUGGACCCCUAUUCAAGGCAGAGGGCCAUUCAGGAAGGCAGUACCCUGGCAGGAAAACUGUGGAACUGAAAGGGACUAUUUGCCCACAAUAAGGAGGAUUUCAAGGGUAGGAGAUUCUCCCUAGCAGGAAGUUUUUCCUAUGCUGUUUUCUAUUUUCAUAGGAGAUAUAAGCCUGAACAGGUGGACUUGGGACUUGGAGUAAUUCAUACACACACACACACACACACACACACACACACACACACACACAAUGUGAGUAACCCACAUUAUCAUCCACAUAUCAUGCAGCCUAUAGCUGGAGUUACCCCUCCUUGUGUGCUCAUGGAGGUCCCAUUGGAAAAGCCUAGCUCAGUCCUACCUCACAGAAAGGGCAGAAGCAAUACAAGUUUACUCAGAUUUUGUUAAUAUUUUUAUUCCAAUAACCUCCAAAUAAUAUCCUAUAAAAAUGUAAAUUAUUUUUUCUGUCAUCUGUUACUUAUGAAAAAUAUUAUAACAACAAUAAAGGAAUCUUAAAAAUGAUCUAAUUUCAUAUUUUAUGCCAAAAUGUGGCCAGGAAGAAAGGUCCCAGUGACUGUGGUGUCUGAAAGUGCAGAUUUUCAAUUUGUGAGCGCUGGUGGCCUCAGAAGGACUGACUUCGUUGGUCAGGCUUAAAGAGACUCUUUGAAGAAGGUGGGAUAAUGGAUAAAGUUUUUUUCUUUUUGAGGAUUUGAAUUUUAAAAGAUGUUAUUUAAAGUUAUUGCACAUAUAUUUUUGUUCAAUGAGUUGUGUAAAUGGGUUCAGUCAAUCAAUAUGAUCAUUUAUAUUAAAAUAAUGUUAUUUCAUUGGUUUCACACCAGCCCCCGAGAGGUCUAAAGAGUGAGGAAUCUCUUAUUCAUGCACCAGAGACACAAACAACUAAGAGAAAGGUGGGAGGGGAAGUGAAGAAAAGCCAUUCCAGAGAAGGACUAGGGAAUGGCGGUUAUGGUGUCACAGAAUCUGCGAGAAACAGCACAAGGUAGCUUCCUAGAGUCCUGUGUGCUCUGUGGUACGGCAACCCAGGAAUUCAGGGCUCAAGGGCAGCCCCUCAAAUGAGUGUGUGAUUUGCAGGGUUUUUAAAAUUUAUUAUUAUUAUUAUUUUUUUUUUGCACGCAUGUUGUCUUUUAAGGACCUGGCUGUGAUCCUUCUGCAUAUACCUCAAGGAGAGCUCAAAGAGAGCUCAAGAGACCAGGAAGGCUAGAGAUCUCCCUGCAGUGUCUUGCCUGAAGCCUCUGGAUGUUAAGGUCUAACUUUGUCUUUCUUACAGAGUUAUACCUUGUCUAACCAUAUGAAAAUAUCAGGAGGCACAGAGUUUUAUCACUUUUUUGUUUUGACAACCCAAGAACUGAUUGCUCUGACAAUUGUGCUCUGAAUUAAGUGUUUAAUCGGAGUACCAGCAGAUGGCGCCAUUUGUCAUUUAUUGACGCUACUACCCACGGCUAAAGCAGGGGGCUUCUUGCCUCUUUAAUUUGGAUAGUAUUAUAAGUAAAGUGUUUUCUACUGUUUAUUAUGCAUGAGCCAAAAUUCUAUGAAUGUGUAACAUUUUCUCUUGUAUUUCCUUUUUUAUAACAUCAUUUAAAUUCCUUAUUAAUAAUUUAAAAAUGUUCUGGAUUUUAAUCACUUUUCUCAUCACUAAAAUAUCUGAUGAAGAGAUGUUUGUUCCCCUGCUGAAGGUGAGACAGAGGAAACCAUCAGCAAGGAAGAAAAAAGAGAAUCUCACUUUUAAACCGAGCUCUUCGCCCCUCUCACGUCACCCCAUCUUUUCAGUUUAAUUGAAUAAUAUUUAUUUAAUUAAUAAAAAUAUCUGCCUAGUGCAGGUUUCAGAAAUCCAAGGCCAGAAUAGGCUGCCAUUAAUAAAACAAGUUUUUUAUAUCCAAGUUUAAUUAUGGUGGUGUGUGUUUGAUAGCUUGUUACUGUAAAUAAAAGAGAUAAAGGCAGCCCUUCACUGGAGUAGCUCGAGAGCUGUGAAAUAUGUACCUAAUUAAAACUAUUGGUGUAAGAGGCUAAUAAAGUACAUGUGCC
rnacentral:lncRNA from 1 species